UCCCCAGUACCAAAACCAAAAAACAAAAAACAAAAAAAACUCCAAAUCUUAGAGGCAUAACACAUACUAGCUAACUUUCUCAACCAUGCAGCAGUUCAAUGCAAGCAUUAGGUCAACAGCCUUACAUAUCUUGUGGCUCCAUCAUCACUUGUGGCCUUGGGGUCUGCUGGUGGCUCCUUUGCAUUUUUUUGGGAGAUAGGGAGGGAAGAGAGAAAGAGAAUUUCUGAGGAGGGUUUUGUAUUGGUCAGGUCUGGACAUGCCGCACAUCACUUCCCAUACUAUUAAUGAGCUUGAUCCCAUGGUUACACAAACGGUGAAGGACUCUGGGGGAAGUGGCUUAGCUGUGUGUCCAGAAUGAACAGGGAAUAGGUUUUGGUGGCUACCCAGAGGCUCUACUACAGUGAGCACACCAGAGCCAGGCAGCCCCCGGAUCAAGAAAGCCUUUGUGUGUCUGUCCCAGAGUGAAGGAAUCUCACUGAUAGCUGCUGUUUUGGUGUUACAGACAAACUCAUGUGAUCAAAAUCUAAAUAAUUGCCUUGAACUCAUCAAGCAAGUUGCCAAAGUACAAGGACAACUCUUUGGGAUCCUCACUACAACUGCUCAAGAAGGAGGACAUAACGAUGGUGUGGAAACAAUCAAGUCACGCCUUUUGCCUUGGUUAGAAGCUUCUUUUACGGCUGCUUCCCUGGGAAGACCUAUUGAUAGCAAGGUCCCCUCUCUACAGGACACGUUUGAUAGAGAGAGACAUAAAGAGCAGGGUCUUCGGGAUCAAGAUCUACAACAAUUAAACUCCGACUCGAACUCAACCCAUAAUCAGCUCAACCAGGUCAAAGACAAGUCAGCCAGGAGCCAGUCUCCUAGCCCUGAGCAUCAGAGCCACAGUGACAACUAUAGCCAGAGCAGGUCUGCCAGCCCCUCUACCGCAGUUGCCAAGGACAGAAGCCCAUCACCAAAUCGGUCCAAACUGUCCAGUGUGGCUCGCAAGGCUGCCCUCCUGUCCAGGUUCAGUGAUGCCUAUUCGCAAGCCCGCCUGGAUGCACAGUGCCUGCUUCGGCGCUGCAUCGACAAUGCUGAGACUGUGCAGCGCAUCAUCUACAUUGCCACUGUGGAGGCAUUUCAUGUGGCUAAAAUGGCAUUCAGACACUUCAAGUUCCGGGUGAGGAAGUCAAUGACGACACCAUCUUACUUGGGGUCGAAUGACUUUGAGAAUGCUGUCAUGGACUAUAUCAUUUGUCAUCUUGAUCUAUAUGAUUCCCAAAGCAGUGUUAAUGUAAGUAUUAGGCCUCUCAUUAGGACUAGUUGGUGACUAAUGAAGUUUGUAUUGGAUACUGAUAACUCAGGAAUCCAUCAAGAUUUAGUAUUA
rnacentral:lncRNA from 1 species